UCCGGGCGGCAGCUUUCCAUGCAGUCGACGAUGAACCUUAGCUUGCUAGGGGGAUUAGUGGCGAACGGGUGAGUAAUAUAUCGGAACGUGCCUUGUAAUGGGGGAUAACUAGUCGAAAGAUUAGCUAAUACCGCAUACGCCCUGAGGGGGAAAGUAGGGGAUCUUCGGACCUUACGUUAUAAGAGCGGCCGAUAUCUGAUUAGCUAGUUGGUGGGGUAAUAGCCUACCAAGGCUUCGAUCAGUAGCUGGUCUGAGAGGACGACCAGCCACACUGGAACUGAGACACGGUCCAGACUCCUACGGGAGGCAGCAGUGGGGAAUUUUGGACAAUGGGCGCAAGCCUGAUCCAGCCAUUCCGCGUGAGUGAAGAAGGCCUUCGGGUUGUAAAGCUCUUUCGCAAGGGAAGAAAACUUACUUUCUAAUAAAGAGUGAGGCUGACGGUACCUUGAUAAGAAGCACCGGCUAACUACGUGCCAGCAGCCGCGGUAAUACGUAGGGUGCGAGCGUUAAUCGGAAUUACUGGGCGUAAAGCGUGCGCAGGCGGUUUGGCAAGUCAGAUGUGAAAUCCCCGAGCUCAACUUGGGAACUGCGUUUGAAACUGCCAGACUAGAAUAUGUCAGAGGGGGGUAGAAUUCCACGUGUAGCAGUGAAAUGCGUAGAGAUGUGGAGGAAUACCAAUGGCGAAGGCAGCCCCCUGGGAUAAUAUUGACGCUCAUGCACGAAAGCGUGGGGAGCAAACAGGAUUAGAUACCCUGGUAGUCCACGCCCUAAACGAUGUCUACUAGUUGUUGGGUGGAGUAAAAUCCAUGAGUAACGCAGCUAACGCGUGAAGUAGACCGCCUGGGGAGUACGGUCGCAAGAUUAAAACUCAAAGGAAUUGACGGA
rnacentral:rRNA from 1 species